rnacentral:rRNA from 1 species
AGUGAACGCUGGCGGUAGGCCUAACACAUGCAAGUCGAGCGGCAGCACAGUAAGAGCUUGCUCUUACGGGUGGCGAGUGACGGACGGGUGAGGAAUACAUCGGAAUCUACUUUUUCGUGGGGGAUAACGUAGGGAAACUUACGCUAAUACCGCAUACGACCUACGGGUGAAAGCAGGGGAUCUUCGGACCUUGCGCGAUUGAAUGAGCCGAUGUCGGAUUAGCUAGUUGGCGGGGUAAAGGCCCACCAAGGCGACGAUCCGUAGCUGGUCUGAGAGGAUGAUCAGCCACACUGGAACUGAGACACGGUCCAGACUCCUACGGGAGGCAGCAGUGGGGAAUAUUGGACAAAGGGCGCAAGCCUGAUCCAGCCAUACCGCGUGGGUGAAGAAGGCCUUCGGGUUGUAAAGCCCUUUUGUUGGGAAAGAAAAGCAGCAGGUUAAUACCCCGCUGUUCUGACGGUACCCAAAGAAUAAGCACCGGCUAACUUCGUG